AGCUCCAAUAGCGUAUAUUAAAAUUGUUGCGGUUAAAACGCUCGUAGUUGGAUUUCUGAAGCCGGCUUCCGGUCCUACCCAGUGUAGAAUACGCGGAAGUCUUGGUUUCAUUUGUUCAGGGAAGGUGUUUGCACUUUGUUGUGUGUCACGUGAUCUGAAUUUUUACUUUGAGGAAAUGAGAGUGUUCCAAGCAGGCUUUUGCCGUGAAUAUGAUAGCAUGGAAUAAUAGCAUAGGACCCCUUUCCAAAGCUGUUGGUUUUUGGAACAGAGGUAAUCAGAAUAAGGAUAGUUGGGGGUAUUCGUAUUUAACUGUCAGAGGUGAAAUUCUUGGAUUUUUAAAGACGAACUAUUGCGAAGGCAUCUGCCCAGGAUGUUUUUG
rnacentral:rRNA from 1 species